rnacentral:misc_RNA from 1 species
AGCCAUCCAAUAUGGACUUCCUUUUAAAGAGAGAUUAGCUGAAUGCCCGUUUAGGUGCUUAGCCAUCCCAAAGUCUGCAAGUUUGACAACCCCAUAAGCAUCAACAAGCAAAUUAGCCCCUUUAAUGUCCCUGUGAAUGGUCUUUUUACUAUGCAAGUACGCUAACCCGCAAAGAAUAUGGCGAGUGAAAUUCCUCACAAUAGAUUCUGUAAUUUCCCCACAAUGGUCUUGGAUAAAUUUAUUGAUAGAACCAGGAUGA